UGGGGAAUUUUGGACAAUGGGCGCAAGCCUGAUCCAGCCAUGCCGCGUGCGGGAAGAAGGCCUUCGGGUUGUAAACCGCUUUUGUCAGGGAAGAAAUCUUCUGAGUUAAUACCUCGGGAGGAUGACGGUACCUGAAGAAUAAGCACCGGCUAACUACGUGCCAGCAGCCGCGGUAAUACGUAGGGUGCAAGCGUUAAUCGGAAUUACUGGGCGUAAAGCGUGCGCAGGCGGUUUUGUAAGACAGAGGUGAAAUCCCCGGGCUCAACCUGGGAACUGCCUUUGUGACUGCAAGGCUUGAGUGCGGCAGAGGGGGAUGGAAUUCCGCGUGUAGCAGUGAAAUGCGUAGAUAUGCGGAGGAACACCGAUGGCGAAGGCAAUCCCCUGGGCCUGCACUGACGCUCAUGCACGAAAGCGUGGGGAGCAAACAGGAUUAGAUAGCCCUGGUAGUCCACGCCCUAAACGAUGUCAACUGGUUGUUGGGAAGGUUCCUUCUCAGUAACGUAGCUAACGCGUGAAGUUGACCGCCU
rnacentral:rRNA from 1 species